rnacentral:lncRNA from 1 species
UAGAAUUGUGAGCUUUUCUUGUUAUUCCUUUCAGAAUCCCAGUUCUGUUUGUCAAGCUCUCUAUUUUAAAAUGUGGUACAAUGCCGGCUCGUAGAUCAUCUUCGAAAUCUAGAGAUAUUUACAAGAAAAAAAACAGACGUGUUUCAUAUUUCCUCAUGCCUUGGUGGAAACUCCAUUUGCACGGCUGUACCCAGGCAGAUGAAUCAGCAGAGGGUGCUAUUAAUCAGCACCAGAUUACAGGCAUUCUGUCAAAGUGGUGAAAACAGUCGCCACCCUUCACAUUCUGGUGUCUAUGCUAGACCACCAGACAAGACCCCCUCACCAACUCCAGCACGAGGCUGCGCUGCUGUCCUCCUCAGCCUGAUCCCAGAGGUUACUGCGGAGCAAAGCAAGCGGACCUGGACCCACAGCCCUACAGUUCCAAGCCCUGCACCCUACCUGCUGCACGCAGCUGCUUUUUAUCCCCAUGCAGAGAAGCCAC